rnacentral:rRNA from 1 species
AUUGAACGCUGGCGGAAUGCUUUACACAUGCAAGUCGAACGGCAGCACGGACUUCGGUCUGGUGGCGAGUGGCGAACGGGUGAGUAAUGUAUCGGAACGUGCCCAGUCGUGGGGGAUAACGCAGUGAAAAUUACGCUAAUACCGCAUACGAUCUAUGGACGAAAGCGGGGGAUCGCAAGACCUCGCGCGAUUGGAGCGGCCGAUAUCAGAGUAGGUAGUUGGUGGGGUAAAGGCCCACCAAGCCAACGAUCUGUAGCUGGUCUGAGAGGACGACCAGCCACACUGGAACUGCGACACGGUCCAGACUCCUACGGGAGGCAGCAGUGGGGAAUUUUGGACAAUGGGCGAAAGCCUGAUCCAGCCAUUCCGCGUGCAGGAUGAAGGCCCUCGGGUUGUAAACUGCCUUUGUACAGAACGAAAAGGUUUCUACUAAUACUAGGAGCUCAUGACGGUACUGUAAGAAUAAGCACCGGCUAACUACGGGCCAGCCGCCGCCGUAA